GGGAAACUUAGGGAGAUACAUCCCCCAAAAUAAAAAGGGCUAGGGAUGUUGCUCAGUGGUUGAGCACCUCUGGGUUCAAUUUCUAGUGCUAGAGAAAGAAAUAUAUCCGUGUUCUAUGACUUUGUUUAAUGUGAACCAAUUCCCAAGUCUCAGCAAUUCUCCAUGCACCAAAUCAACUUUCUGGACUUAGAAGUCCAAACUUUGAAAUGUGAGUUUAUUCAUUCCUUUAUUUAUCAAACAAAUAAAUAUUUUAGUGCCUAUACUGUAAAAAAUACUAUUCUGGAUUCUGUUGAUCUUAAAUUCAAGGUAUUGAACCACACACAAUUAAAAAUGGGUUAUGGGAGUUGAAAAAAAUGGAUUAUGGAAAAAAUAUACGGACUAAGUGUAUGCAGGAUGGAUAAAGAUUUUAAUGCAGAAAUUGAUAAUUCAUUCAUAGAAUUGUUCUGAUUCAUCAAAUGAGGAAGCAGGGAAACAAGUAUCUAGAACCAUGUAAUAAGGACUUCAUUUAGUCCUUAAGACUAAUCUGUUAUUCAUUUUAGUCUCUAGGGGAACCCUAAAAUCACAGUAAGUUAUUUUAAACAUCUUAGUGGAAUUGUUAUGAAAUACAGUCAUCCCUUUGUACCAGUAGAGGAUUGGUCCAUGACACACACUCCAUGGAUACCAAAAUCCCUUAUAUAAAAUGGCAUAGUAUUAUUUGCUUAUAACCUACACAUAUUCUCCUGUAUAUUUUAAAUCAUCUCUAGAUUAUUUAUAAUACCUAAUAAUAGAAAUACUAUGUAAGUAGUUAUGUGUUGUUUAAGAAAUAACGACAAGAAAAUGUCUGAUGCAGAACUAACUUAUUUUAAUGUUUUUAAUGCCAAGUUGGUUGAAUCCACAAAUGCAAAACCUACAGAUAUAGAAAGCCAAUGUAUCCCAAUUUUAUAGAUUAGUAGAGUAGAUCUAGUAAAUGAUUGUUGAAAAAAAGUUAACAUUGAAACUUCUGGCCUCACCAAGCAUGUUGGUACACUCCAGUAAUCCCAGCAACUCAAAAGCCUGAGGCAGGAGGAUCACAAGUUCAAGGCCAGACUCAGUAAUUUAGUGAGACCCUGUCUCAAAAAAAAAAAAAAAUGAUGCUCAGGAUGUGCCUCAGUGGUUAAGCACCCCUAGGUUCAAUUCCCACUACCCUCCCCUGCAAAAAAACCUGUCCUCACACUAGGGAUGUAGCUCAGUAGUAUAGUACUUGCCUAGCAUGUGCAAGACCCUGGGUUUGAUCCUAAGUACCAACUGCAAAAAAAAGAAAACUUGUGUAUUUGUGUAUAUGUGUGUGUGUACACACACACACACACACACACAAUGUAUCAAUAUGUAUUCAUUAUUCAUAUAUGUAUAUGAAUUUUAUUAUGUGUGACAGUGUUAUUUGUUUGCUGGACACAUGACACACAUUUGGGAGGCCAAGGCAGAAGCUUAAACCUAGGAGUUUGGGGCCAGCUUGAGCAACAUAGCCAGACCCUGUCUGUGUGUGUGUGUGGGGGGGGGGUAAAACUUGC
rnacentral:lncRNA from 1 species